rnacentral:lncRNA from 1 species
UUGAGCAAAUUUAAAUAAACUCCUUUGAGUGAAUAAUUGACAUGAAAUCAGGAGUUAAUUAAGUUUACAUAAAUAAGCUUGCCUCAAAGAAUCAUUUAAUGCUGACUUACCAUUAGAUCUAGAUCUUUCCCUUUUUAAUCCAGAAGACAAUGUGUUGAUAAAUCAUCUGUGUUUCUAUCCUAUAAAUUGAUGUUUUUGGUGUAUUUUGUAUUGUAUUAGUCUGCAAACCACAUUGAAAGUAAUAGUUUGAUCAAUCUCUAUAACUGUUUUGAUGUUUUCAGUCUUUUGUUUUUUGAAAUAUUCCUUAGGCAGCACAAUGACUGGGUAGCUGCCCAAAUUCUGUGCUUUUAGAAUCUACCUCCUAUCAAUAACCCAACUAAUUAUUUACUACAUUCCAUCUGAGCUGCUCUUAGCUCCAACCAAGCAGUGCUCUGGGCUAUGCUCUCUUGGCCCCUAGCCCAUGGGGUCUCUCUCUCCUUUCUCCUUUCCUGCACACUCUUCUAUACCAUGGAAGCUCUCCCUCUCUCCUCCGACUCCUUGUUGAUGUCUCAAGCCCAGAAAAACUAGAUGUUUUCAGUCUUAUAGCCAAAGAUAAUUAGUCUAAUUUGAAAAUUUGUGUUAUUUACAGUAGAUCAAUAUUAUGCAUGUGUGUCAGUUAUUAGUGAUAAUAAAUGUAUGUACCAUUAUCAUAUUAAAAGUAUGUAUAUUUUUGUGAUUACAUUUAUCACAACACUUUGUAUCAAUAAACUAGUAGUGUGCUGCUUUAGUUAAAAUGUCUAAUAUUAGAGUUUAAAGUAAAUAUCUUAGUGUAAUGCUUAGUGUAACUACUAAUAACAGAUGAGUAAAUCUAAUAGGUCUGUGUGUAAUACACAAUAUCAUAGUUCCCCAAAUUUUCUUCUUUUAAUCUAUGUACUAGAUAUUAAUUUUAGACACAGAGAGGAAUUCCAUAAUAGUCAAGAUAUCUUGAUCCAGCAGUUUUGAGGCUAUUAGAAAAUUAUAUUCAAAUUAUCAGAACAUUUUGUCAUAUUAAAUAAAGUGGUAUUAACCAAUUAACCCUUUUAAAACUGGUAGGAUACACUUCCACAUAUUCUCAUGUUAAUAUGAGAAAAUGAAUGCUCCUGAUAUGAGAAUGUUAAUUGUAAUUCCAAAAAUUAUUCUCAGGGGUCAUUUUCUACUCUGGCAUCCCUUUGCACAUCAGUACAAUUAAAGAACCAAAGGAAUCUCAUUUUACUUCUUAGUUAUUAUGUCUAAGUAAAUUGAUGGCUCAUUAGUAAGAUGUCUUCAGGUUCCCGUAAUUAAAAUAAAAAUGAUGAUCUCAUCAUGAUAUUCAUAUUGCACAUUUAUCCAUUUCUCAUUUGAUUUAUAACCUAUUUUUUUUACUUACUGUAGCUUACUCAACUCUCUUAGGCAUGUAUAUUUGUGGGUCUUUGAUAAUUGAUACUAAUUGAAUAGAAGUGUGGCAACAUAAUCUAAUGAAGUAUCUACUUCAGAUUUUUGGGAGUAACGUGGUAUAUUUUGAAGCAUACCAUAUUUAACUAUACUUAUUUUAUAACUGAUUUAUAUCCAGUUUGUAGUUUUUUCUCAGUAAGGGUCAUUUUGAAUAACAGAGUUCAUUAAAAUGUAAGCAUAGCUAGCUGUAGAACUAAUUUUUAUGAAUGGAAAUGGAAGCCAUGGUACACAGUCUCUAUAUUGGUACUUUCCAGAUAAUUUUUAAAACUUCUCUGUUUAGCUUUGGUACAAUACCUAGCCAUUUGAAUUGAUUAUUUAAAUAUCCCGGACUUAGAAUUAUAUUUGUUAUCAUCCUUGAUAUAUCUAUUAAGUAUAUUUUGGAUACGAACAAUGAGCAAAAUAAUAAUGUUGAAAUGUGAAAGAAAGGCAUUCACAAACAUUCAUGGGUAAAAUUUCACAUUUCUGAUUGAAGUGCUUAUAUGUUUGAAAACACUAAUAAGUUUCAUUCUGCAGAUAAAUGUCUGAUUAUGACAACCUUAGAAGUAUCUUUUUCGAUUUCAUUGGAUUUUUUAUAUUACAAAAAGAAAGAGAAUUUUGGUCAAUAUAAAAGACAAAGUUGUAUUUAACCUAGGGGAAAUGUAGGCACUACAUUAGAGCACUUUGUACUUAUCUGUAAAGCAAUGCUUCUCAGAAGAGAAUCUGCUGUAUUUCUGCACCUUAUCCAGCAUCAAUCAUUUUGAUUAGGGUCUUACACCACGAACUAGGGGUCUCCUCUUCCACAGCAGCUCCAUAUGUCUCCUACAGCUGUUCUACUUUGUAGGUAUAACAUGGCAUUUCUUCUCAUAGUUUGUGUCCCUGAUAGCUCCUUUGAUCCUUGGAUCUAUCCUGCUCUGGUUUUGUUGUUGUUGUUGUUGUUGUUUUGUGAUAUGAGUUAUGGUCAGUCUUGAAUUGAAGCAAUAUGCAGAAAGAGAACUAAUAUCCGUGAACAUUUGAUAGCUGAAGCAUUUGCUAUUAAUUUUCAUGCUAAAAAUCACUUAAAGAAGUUUGUACAGCAGAAACUUUAUGAAAAUUAAUAAAGUUUAGGAAAAUUCUUUCUGUGUAAUGAAAUAUGACCAUAAUUUUGGUCUAAUUAAAUGGAGGCUAGAUUGUCUUUUCUUUUCUAUGUUUGAUAUAUAAUCUUUAGAUAUUAACUUGACAAACUGAAUAUCUUGUGCAUUAUGCUACAGAAAUAUAGAAUUACAUACUCAUUUCACUCAUGCUAGAGUGGAGAGAAUUAUCUCUGUGUUUAUAAAUUUGAAAAUAUCUUAAGAAUUUCCUAUAUGUAUAUAGCAGAUAUAUAUUAUAGAGAUAGAAUAAAUAAAAAUGGAGUAAACAAAUAAUGAACAUAAUAAUUUUUAAUUUUUGUAAAUGGUAACCUCAUUUAUUCAUUUCUAAAAUGUAGAGUUUAAUGGAAUUUAAUGUGUGAAGGAACGAAAGCAAUGGGACUUUGGGAAAAUACAGUAUUACAUGAAGCUUACUAAACAAAGAUUUUUCUGGAAAAAGAAAUAAUGCUUUCAAAUUGAAAUUCUGAUAUUUCAAUGAAAAUAACAAGCAUAUGAAAUCUCAAUUAUCUUAUUGAAAGAAUGAUGUUCAGAAGACUUCAUAAUGUUUUAAUAAUUUUAUCACAAGCUGUUUUUAUUAUCUUUAAUCCUUUUUUAUAGUCCAGUCGUUAUCCCUCUCUUGGUCUGUCCUCAAAAUUUUCCUCUUCUCAUUCCCCUCCCCUGUCUUCAACAGUAUGCCCCCAUCCCCACACUCCCAACUGCCAGUAUGAGCUGGUUUUUAAACUGAAAUAGUUUUCCAGAACACAACAGUAGUUACCACAGCAUGCUCAUUGUAAAUGAUGUUUCUAUUUACCUUCCUAUGGAUUUAUAGGGGUUAACAAUUAUUAUCACCAACAACAUUCAUGCUCUUUAAAAGAAACUAACAGGGCAAAGCAAAGGGGCUUAAUUGAUUCUCAUGUUCAGCAUGCUGUAUCCUGGAGCUUCAAAUGGCUCUGUUGGUAGCAACUUUCUUUGCUGGUUGAUACAAGAAGUGGUUUGCUAAAUAUCAGUUGACAGUAUUACUCUUUUUACUUGCGGAAAAUAUAGCAGAAUUCAUCCCUCUUCCUGUAGAGAACUGCACCAACUAAAGUCGUUGUUUUAAUGG